UUGGGGUGCUCGAGUGGCGAACGGGUGAGUAACACGUGAGUAACCUGCCCUUGACUUUGGGAUAACUUCAGGAAACUGGGGCUAAUACCGGAUAGGAGCUCCUGCUGCAUGGUGGGGUUGGAAAGUUUCGGCGGUUGGGGAUGGACUCGCGGCUUAUCAGCUUGUUGGUGGGGUAGUGGCUUACCAAGGCUUUGACGGGUAGCCGGCCUGAGAGGGUGACCGGCCACAUUGGGACUGAGAUACGGCCCAG
rnacentral:rRNA from 1 species